CCCGUGGACUGUACCCCACCAAGCUCCUCUGUCCGUGGAAUUUUCCAGGCGGAUUCUUUACCGACUGAGCCACCUGGGAAGGCGGGGAAGCCCCACACCAUUGCCAAAGAGUUGUUUUUACAGGAAGCAGACUGCCCUCCAGAUGAAAACUGCUGACCACAAGAAGACCCUCAACUGGUCAAAACCAGAAGGUUGAUGAUGCUUGAAAGUUCACCUGGAUGCCAACCAAUCCUAGAAUUAUCCAGGAGCUGAUCACGCCCUGCUUCUCAAGCUCUGCUACACUCUUAAAACUCCUCACUACCCUCUCCAGGGUGAGUCACAUAGUCUUCAGGGCAUUAACCCCUCUCCCUGGAAAAGCAAUAAAAGCUACUCUUUUCUACUUCACCCAACUGUGUCCACGCUUCCAUUCAGCACCAGUGAAUAGAGGCCGAGUUUUGACAACAGAGAGACAGAGAUGGUUAGAAGGAAAAGAAUAAUUAUUUCCUCAUAAUUCACAUCAGGGAAGAAACUUACAUUAUCUCAAGAACAGACACAUGAAAUUUUUUAAUUACCCAAAC
ensembl:lncRNA